AUUGAACGCUGGCGGCGUGCCUUACACAUGCAAGUCGAACGGAAACACGCGUACCGGUCCCCUCGAGUGUUGACCGGGUGAGUGAUGCAAACACACGUAUCCCGAACUGAUGAAUAAGGCAUCGAAACGUGAGCCAAUACCGCAUACGAGCUGAUGAUGAAAGCGGCGGACCACAAAGGAAAGUGUGGCCUUGCGCCUUUCUAAUAGCCGAUGCCGGAUUAGAUAGUUUGUUGGGUAAGGGCCUACCAAGCCGAGGCUCCGUAGCUGGUCCGAGAGGAUGGACCGCCCAACUUGAACCGGGGCACGGUCCCGACCCCUACGGGAGGCAGCCGGAGGGAAUCUUCCGCAAUGGGCGGAAGCCUGACGGAGCAACGCCGCGUGGGUGAUGAAGGUCUUCGGAUCGUAAAACCCUGUUAUUAGGGAAGAAAAAAUGUGUAAGUAACUAUGCACGUCUUGACGGUAACUAAACAAAAAGCCACGGCUAACUUCGUG
rnacentral:rRNA from 1 species